rnacentral:rRNA from 1 species
UACGGGGGGGGCAAGCGUUGUUCGGAAUUCCUGGGCGUAAAGGGCUCGUAGGCGGCUCGCUAAGUCAGACGUGAAAGCCCUCGGCUUAACCGGGGAACGGCGUCUGAGACUGGCAAGCUGGAAUCCGGGAGAGGGAUGCGGAAUUCCAGGUGUAGCGGUGAAAUGCGUAGAUAUCUGGAGGAACACCGGUGGCGAAGGCGGCAUCCUGGACCGGUAUUGACGCUGAGGAGCGAAAGCCAGGGGAGCAAACGGG